GAAACAAACAAACAAACAAACAAACAAACAAAAAGGAGAGAGAGAUAACAGUUAAAUCAGAUACUUAUUACUAUUGAAGUAUAAAAAAAUAACAUUGGAACAUUGGAACAAUUGUAAUUCUUUAAUAUUUCCUUUGAAAGAACACUGAAUAAAAAAAAAUUCCUUCACUUUUAAAGCUGCCUGGAGAUUUACAGGUGUAUAAAGAGACAGAUAUGUCAAAAUACUUCUAAUAACAUUAGUGUUCUCUGGAACUGUCAUCAUGAAAACAACUGCCUACACUGCUACAACAGAUACAAAUUGUCCCUAAAAACAUUUUCACUUCAUGAAAUAAACAUGUAGUUACGUACAGUUAUCAUUCCAGAUGAACACAAAUAAUGAAGGAAAGAGAAUGCAGAACUGAAAGAUGGGAAGAGGAUUAUGCUGCUGAACCAAGACUUCCUCCAGAAUCCAAGUGCCUGAAAACAGGAUCAUUAAUUUCUGAAAAAGAUAAAAGUUUUGCCUUAUGGCAUUUGGAUUACAUACAAGGCAGAAGAAAUUAA
rnacentral:lncRNA from 1 species